UACGUAGGGGGCAAGCGUUGUCCGGAUUUAUUGGGCGUAAAGAGCGUGUAGGCGGCCAGGUAGGUCAGCUGUGAAAACUCGAGGCUCAACCUCGAGCUGUCGGCUGAAACCAUCUGGCUAGAGUCCGGAAGAGGAGAAUGGAAUUCCCGGUGUAGCGGUGAAAUGCGCAGAUAUCGGGAAGAACACCCGUGGCGAAGGCGGUUCUCUGGGACGGUACUGACGCUGAGACGCGAAAGCGUGGGGAGCAAACAGG
rnacentral:rRNA from 1 species